CGGUAGGGUGCGAGCGUUAAUCGGAAUUACUGGGCGUAAAGCGUGCGCAGGCGGUUUUGUAAGCCAGAUGUGAAAUCCCCGGGCUCAACCUGGGAAUGGCAUUUGGGACUGCAAGGCUGGAGUGUGGCAGAGGAGACUGGAAUUCCUGGUGUAGCAGUGAAAUGCGUAGAUAUCAGGAGGAAUACCGAUGGCGAAGGCAGGUCUCUGGGCUAACACUGACGCUCAUGCACGAAAGCGUGGGGAGCAAACAGGAUUAGAUACCCUGGUAGUCCACGCCCUAAACGAUGUCGACUGGUUGUUGGGGGUUUGACACUCUCAGUAACGAAGCUAACGCGUGAAGUCGACCGCCUGGGGAGUACGGCCGCAAGGUUA
rnacentral:rRNA from 1 species